rnacentral:misc_RNA from 1 species
GAAAUGCGAUACUUGGUGUGAAUUGCAGAAUUCAGUGAAUCAUCGAAUCUUUGAACGCACAUUGCGCCCGCUAGUAUUCUGGCGGGCAUGCCUGUCCGAGCGUCAUUUCAACCCUCAGGUCCCCGGUCCCUAGCGGCCGGAGGUUCCUGGUGUUGGGGACCCGGGCCUGCCCCUCGCGGGCCGGCGCCCGGGCCCCGAAAGACAGUGGCGGUCCCGCCGUAGCGUCCUCUGCGUAGUAGCACAACCUCGCACCGGAUCGCGGCGCGGCCACGCCGUAAAAUCGCAGGGCCCCCCACAGCCCCGCGCUCACCAAAGGUUGACCUCGGAUCAGGUAGGAAUACCCGCUGAACUUAA